UAGGGAAUCUUCCACAAUGGACGCAAGUCUGAUGGAGCAACGCCGCGUGAGUGAAGAAGGCUUUCGGGUCGUAAAACUCUGUUGUUGGAGAAGAAUGGUCGGCAGAGUAACUGUUGUCGGCGUGACGGUAUCCAACCAGAAAGCCACGGCUAACUACGUGCCAGCAGCCGCGGUAAUACGUAGGUGGCAAGCGUUAUCCGGAUUUAUUGGGCGUAAAGCGAGCGCAGGCGGUUUUUUAAGUCUGAUGUGAAAGCCCUCGGCUUAACCGAGGAAGCGCAUCGGAAACUGGGAAACUUGAGUGCAGAAGAGGACAGUGGAACUCCAUGUGUAGCGGUGAAAUGCGUAGAUAUAUGGAAGAACACCAGUGGCGAAGGCGGCUGUCUGGUCUGUAACUGACGCUGAGGCUCGAAAGCAUGGGUAGCGAACAGGAUUAGAUACCCUGGUAGUCCAUGCCGUAAAACGAUGAAUGCUAGGUGUUGGAGGGCUUCCGCCCUUCAGUGCCGCAGCUAACGCAUUAAGCAUUCCGCCUGGGGGAGUACGACCGCAAGGUUGAAAC
rnacentral:rRNA from 1 species